AUAUAUAUAUUACAAGAAAAC
rnacentral:sRNA from 1 species